AUUUCCAUAGGGAAGAGGGAGGGGAAUGGAUACGACCCCGCGCCCAGCAGAAUCACGGCCUGAGCGAUCCCGGAGCUGGAUCCGCCCCUUCCCUCUCCCUGUGGAAAGGCAGGAGCUGCUGGCAGAGCUCAUCCCGCUGCUCCCACCCACCCCGGCCCCCCUGCGGCUCUUCCCGAUGGAUCAACUUCCUGCUUUUUCCUGGGUGAAACCCAGGACCACAAUUAUUCCUGAGGCUUUAAUUUGGGUGUGAAAAUCUCCUGCUUUGGGCAAUAAAUCCUGGCUCCCUCCUCCGGCA